GUUGGAGUAGCUUAGUUGGUUAGAGUGUGUGACUGUUAACUAUAAUGUCAAAGGUUCAAGCCCGUUUUAUAAUG
rnacentral:tRNA from 1 species